rfam:Brachypodium distachyon strain Bd21 chromosome 3, whole genome shotgun sequence.
AAUCUACUCCCUUCGUCCCAUAAUUCUUGUGUCAAAUUAGCCCAAAUAUGGAUGUAUCUAUUACUAAAAAACAUCUAGAUACAUAUAAUAUUUCGACAAGAAUUAUGGAACGGAGGGAGUAGGUG